rnacentral:lncRNA from 1 species
CACUAAAACGGCAGGGCUCUGAGCCCAGCACACGGACUGACUCUUCAUUUUCUACUUGGCAGGAGGCACUUGAAGUACAGACAAAGAGAAAAGUCUACCAAGGAAAGGGAGAAGAGCAAGCUGAGGACGCCAAAGAAUCUUGUUUGGGAUCUGCAGAUAGCAACAAGAAUCUUUAAUAACCAGAGACAACACAGGAAGAUACUGGGCUUAGGUCUUGACUUCCAUAUGCUUGCAAAUUCUGCUGGGAAAGAAAACAGAAGAGGAAAAUGGAAAUUGAACAACAGAGAGAUGGUAUUUCCAGACAAGGGAAUAAAUUCCCGGAAGCAACUGGCCAAGGAAUGAAAAUCCUGGAGAACAGAGUGGAAGAAACGCGUAUUCCACAUUUCCUGUUGAUUUUCUUUCCUCCCUAAACACUGACCUCCCGCAGUCUUCACUAGCAGGUGAGGUCACCUGUAGAGGUCAUGCUGCGGAGUCCCGAGUCCCUGAUUAUAUUCAAGACGUGGAGCUCUCUUUUUCCCGUCCUGCUUUCUUUCCAGAAGUGCCUCAGAUGCAUCCUCCCCUUCUCUUUUCUCCACAUGAAGACGUCACUGACCAUCUUCUCUGGUUUGCUUUCCAACACCGAGCACCAAGUGCUUCAAAGGUCAUGGUGCCCUGGGGCCGAGAGCUACUUAUGUGGGCAUUUAUAACCAAAUAAAUAUUGAAAUGGCCCACAAAGCAAAUGUUAGUGGUAACCAACAGCGGUAAAACUGGGUACAUGGGACCCUGAACCUUCUUGAAUAUUCCCCAUGAGACCCUGGGCCGACCUUCGGGCUUUCCAGUGUGCUCAGAAAAUCCUCCGUGGCUCCCAGCCCCAGCUUAGUCUUUCAACGGUCCUCGGACUGAAGCAAGAGACAGGGAAGGAAUUGUCCAAGGUUUUCCAGCAUGCUGAGAACACUUACCAUGGUGGAGCCUGGCACGUACUGGCUCUUUGAUGCAUGUGUAUUGGUCUCAAGUAGCCAGAAGCAUCUCCUCUGAGAGCCCUUGCCCUCCAGUUUAAAUGGCAAAUGGAAGGGAAUGGGUUCUGGAAGGCCCCAGGUGGGCUGGGGUGGGUUCUGGAGACCAUCUUCCAACUCCUGUUCAGGAGGAGGGUUGGUCAGAUCAGCUCUGUGGCCACCUGGGCUCUGGAGGGGCGAGAUACGGGCAGGUGCGGCCACAGGAGGGAGAGCACCAUGUGCGGGGGAAGCCCACAGCUGGAACCAAAAGGCCCCAGGAGGGAUCCUGGCUCUGACAUCUCCCAGCCGUGUGGCCUUGGGCAAGGUCCCUGACUUGGACCUCAGCCUCCUCAUCUGUAAAACAGGCAGAACAGUAAUACCGACCUUGUAGGUUGUAUAGAGUUCAUAUACAUCAAGCACUUACCACAGUGCCUGGCGGACCGCAUGCCCUAAACACACAAUCCGUGAAAUGAAUCCAUCAGCAAGCAGCUGCUAGGGGCAGUGUGGGGCAGAGAGGCAGCUGCCUGCUGGAACUGGCUGACAGGAGGAUGAGUGUGUGGCAGGAGGAACGCUCUGCACAGAGGACACUAGGUAGCGUCACCUGUCUCUUACCCUGUGUCUCCACUGGAAUGGAAUGUCAGACUCGCACCAUGCAUUCCUUUCCCUGCCAAAACGCCUCCUCUUAGCAGUGAGCAAGAAAGUUGUUCGAGUGGAUGAAGCCAAAAGCCCAUUUGGCAAGAGUGCUGUUUUGGAAAAUGCUUAGCGGUGUGGGUUGGGAUGAGGUUUUCUGUGCCUUUCCAUUAUUUCUUCAGCUUCAUGUAACCCUGACUGAGCAAUGCUCAGCAGAGUGAAGGCUGGGCAGCAGAUGGACAAGAUUUUCUCAAACUCCUUUUUAAGCCAAUUUCAAAAUAGAGAGAGGGAAAAAUCCUUGUUUUCUCUUUUCGGUUUUGAGAGGUUUCAUAUGCAGACACAAUUUUAAAUUUUAUUUUUUUUGCCCCCAAUGAGAUGUUUGGAGAUGGUGGUACUAGAACAGGAAGGAAUUUAUAAGUAUUGGGGAAUUUUUCAUCCCAAUUCCCAUAUCCUCCUAUAAUUCAAGGAGUGAAUGGGUAGUGUUUUUGUUUUUGUGAGAGGGGUGGCGGAGGGUAGAGAGAGAAAGAGAGAGAGACAGAGAGAGAUUACAUAGAGGUGUCCAAAAUGAACACAGUAAAAACCAGUUUUGAUUAAUUCUGCAAUAUUAAGUAGGCAGCCAAAAAUUUUGGUCUGCUUAAUUCUUAGCUCAUCUAAGUCUCCAGUUGACUGAUUGAUUGAUUGAAUGACUUAUUCAACAUGCGCUAGCCAGACACUGGUCUAGGGCCCAGGAAUUCAGCAAUAAAUGAAACAAGACCAA